rnacentral:rRNA from 1 species
UCCGUAGGUGAACCUGCGGAAGGAUCAUUAGUGAAACGGUCCUCUGUGACCUUGGAUCUAUUCCAAACCUCUUGUGAACUGUGGCCCUCGGGCCUUUACAAACAAUCUAGUCAUGAACGUCUUGUUAUAAUAAUAAAAACACAACUUUCAACAACGGAUCUCUUGGCUCUCGCAUCGAUGAAGAACGCAGCGAAAUGCGAUAAGUAAUGUGAAUUGCAGAACACAGUGAAUCAUCGAAUCUUUGAACGCACCUUGCACCCUCUGGUAUUCCGGAGGGUAUGCCUGUUUGAGUGUCAUGUAGACUCAACCUUUCGGGUUUCUGCCCGAUCGGUUGGACUUGGGUGUUGCCUCUUUGUUGCAGGCUCGCCUUAAAUACCUCAGUGACUCUUCUGGGAUCUGUGCCCGGCGUGAUACGUUUCGCCUGGCCUGCCUGACCGAGUUGCUCAUAACAACCACUACUUUUGACUCUGACCUCAAAUCAGGUAGGACUACCCGCUGAACUUAAGCAUAUCAAUAAGCGGAGGA